CUAAGCACUUUACAUAUAUUAUCUCAUAUAACUCCUCAAUAAUGCUGUAAGGUAGGUGUUGGGCAUCUCCCCAUUUUAUACAUAAAUGAGGAAAUUGUAGUGUAACUGAGUGACUGUGGUUUUGGAGUCAAGUCAUCUUCCUUUUUUUUUUUAAGUAAUACAUGAUAAUUGUACAUAUUUUGGAGGCACGUGUGGUAUUUUGAUACAUACAUGCAAUGUGUAACGAUCAAAUCAAGAUAACUGGGACAUCCAUCAACCCAAAUAUUCACCCCUUCUUCAUGUGGGGACAUCCCAGUUCCUCUCCUCCAGCAAUUGUUUCUUCUUCCGCCUCCUCUUCUUCCUCUUCCUCCUCCUCCUCCUUCUUCUUCUUCCUGUUGUUCUUGUUCUUUUUCUACUUCUUCUUCUUUGAGAUGGAAUCUCACUCUGUGGCCCAGGCCGGAGUGCAGUGGCGUGAUCUCAGCUCACUGCAACUUCCACCUCCUGGGUUCAUUCGAUUCUCCUGCCUCAGACUCCCAGGUAGCUGGGAUUACAGGCGCACACCACCACACCUGGCUAAUUUUUGUAUUUUUUUAGUAGAGACGGGGUUUUUCACCAUGUUGGCCAGGCUGUUUUCAAACUCCUGACAUCAGGUGAUCCGCCUGCCUCAGCCUCACAAAGUGUUGGGAUUACAGGCAUGAGCCAGCACUACCGGCCAAGCAAUUUUGAACUCUAAAACAAAUUAUUAACUCUAGUGUCUCCACUGUACUGUAGAACUCUAGAUCUUAUUCCUUCCAUCUGGAUUUUCGUUGGACAUCUUCCUUUUGAAGCCCAGCUUUGUCGUGCUUUCCACGGGACUUGAGCAAACCUCUCCCCUGAUGGCCUGUGUAUUCCUCUGAUCAGGACUUCCCCAGAGCUCCUCCUUGACCUGACGUUUUUUUCUGGGCACUUCUCUCUGACCCCUCGGCAGGGUUUUCUCUUCCUCUUCUAAGCUUCUUUCCCCAGUCCUUCCCUGGGCCUUAGCAGGCCAAGGCUACAAUUUCAAAAGGAGUUGAGUUUCUUCUGGAAAGGGGCUGGGAUGGAACCUCUCCCCUACAUGGUCUCUUCCCAUAAAUGCCCCCUGUGUGCAGCGCCCAGGGGCCCCGGGGAGCCUGGGCGGCUGAUCUGUAAUUAGAAACUUUUCUGCCUUCACGACAGGAGGAGGGAGGGCCCAGGUCUGGCCCAGUUAUUUUGUUUCUCAUGAAUUAUUCAGGAGAUGGGAAGUGGAGUGAAGCCGGGCCCCUCUGCUGACCAAAGCUCUGCCCAAGGCAGCACGACCUACCCAGCUCUGUCCCUUUUACUGUUUCAGACCCAGGAAAUAAACAAACCAUGUGCCAGGCACGUUUACUGAGGGUGUUUUCAUCAGACUCGGGGAGGGAGGUAUGUUCUUUAGCUGCAGAGGGUGACAGGGACUUAUCCAAGGUCACAAGCCUAGGAAAAGGACGGCUGAGCUGGGACUCAAACCCAGGAACACGACGCGAGGAAAAAGCAUGGGUGGAGCUUCUGAGAGCCUUCUUGUCACCCUGGGGAAGAGAGUGUCUGUCUGAGAUUGAAGCCACAGAAGAAAGCAGAGCCAAGACAUGGUCGGCUUCUCUGGGAAGCAGACUCAGAGAUGGAGACUGGUAUGUAGAACUUCAUCAGGAGGUGCUUGUGGGAGCAACACCCACCAAAGAAAAGGAAGGAAGCUGGAUUGGGCAGAGGGAAGGGUGGUGCUGUAAUCCAGUCUCAGCGGAGGCCUCGGCCAGCCCCGUCGGGACUUCUGAAGCUGAGAUGACCCGUCAGAGUUGUUCUGUGUUGAGAUGAGGAGGCUGAGUCUUUACACCUGUACUGACCAGUCCAAGGAUGUGAGCUGCGCUGGGAAGGGGCUAUGACCUCGGAGUGAUGACUCCCUUCAGUGUGGCCAAACCACAGAGGGACUCAGCUGUGAGCUGUCAGCAACCAACACCUCCAGCAGCUAGAGAAAUGCGUGGAUUCUAAAGGAACAUCAGGCUGGAUCCCUUAUAUUAUACAGCUGGCGGGUGGUGGGAGCAUUUUUCCUCCUCUCAUCUCUGGACUCCAAAGACCCCUGAAAACAGCCAAUCAAGGAACAAGGACCUGAACUUUCCCUGACUUGGGCCUCACAUCAAGCUGUUUGCUCUUGCUUCUGUAUUCCAGGGUACCUUGUUCGAACCUCACUGUUUCAUGUAGCACGUUCCUUGAAUAAUAAUAAUAAGUGAUGUGGCUGAGUGCGGUGGCUCACGCCUGUAAUCCCAACACUUUGGGAGGCCAAGGCAGGUGGAUCGCUUGAGGUCAGGAUUUCGAGACCAGUUUGGGUAACAUGGUAAAACCCCCUCUCUACUAAAAAAUACAAAAAUUAGCCAGGCGUGGUGGUGUACACCAGUAGUCUCAAUUACUCAGGAGGCUGAAGGGGGAUUGCUUGAGCCCAAGAGGUGGAGGUUGCCAUGAACUGAGAUCCUGCCACUGCACUCCAGCCUGGGCUACAGAGUGAGACCCUGUUUAAAAAAAAAAAAAAAAAUGUGAUAUAUAAACCAAAUCUAAGCACUUUAUGGCCAAACGUGGUGGCUCACGCCUGUAAUCCAAGCACUUUGGGAGGCUAAGGUGGGUAGAUCAUCUGAGGUCAGGAAUUACAGAUCAGCCUGGCCAACAUGGCAAAGCCCUCUACUAAAUAUACAAAAAUUAGCUGAGCAUGGUGGAAGGCAUCCGUAAUCCUAGCUCCUCAGGAGGCUGAGGCACAAAAAUCACUUGAAAAUGGGAGGUGGAGGCUGCAGUGAGCUGAGAUUGUGUCACUGCACUCCAGCUUGGGCAGCAGAGUGAGACUCUGUCUCACAGAAAAUUAAAUUAAAUUAAAAAAUAAACCAGUACUAUGUACAUUAUUUAUUUAUUUAUAUUUUGAGACGAACUCUCACUCUGUUGUCCAGGCUGGAGUGCAGUGGCUCAAUCUCAGUGCAAUGGUGGGAUGAUCUCAGCUCACUACAACCUCCACCUCCUGGGUUCAAGUUAUUCUCCUAUCUCAACUUCCCAAAUAGCUGGGAUUAUAGGCGCAUGCCACCAGGCCCAGCUAAUUUUUGUAUUUUUUUUAGUAGAGAUGGGGUUUCACCCUGUUGGCCAAGCUGGUCUUGAACUCAUGACCCCAAGUGAUCCACUGGCCUCAGCCUCCCAAAGUGCUGGGAUUACCAUCGUGAGCCACUGGGCCCAGCCUGUUCUAAGUACUUUACAUGGAUUAAAUCAUUUAAUGCUUACAACAACUCUA